GGUGCUAGGAAGCUCACUGCCUCCUGUUCCAGCUCCCGCUGCUGCUCUGCGGACUCGGGAACACCUUCGAGCUUUGCAGACCUGCGGUCAGCCCUCCAUGCGCAACACUAAAGCAGCAGAAGGGGAGGCACAAUGGCUCACACCUUUAAUCCCAGUGAUUUGGGAGGCUGAGGCAGGAGGAUCUCUUGAGCCCAGGAAUUCGAGGCUGCACGCACCUCGGCAUCCGCAUUACCAGUGCUCGCGUGGCAGUCCACUAAUCGGGUGAGAACCAUAUUGCUUUUUGCAUUUCAAUGAAGUAAUAGUAGCAAUUUAUCAAGCACUUUUUUUUCCAGACUGGUAUAAAAUUGUAUGUGCUUCUGUAAACCAUUUAACAAUAAAAGUAAAAUGCAAAGGGGAACCGGG
rnacentral:sRNA from 1 species